UACGUAGGGUGCAAGCGUUGUCCGGAAUUAUUGGGCGUAAAGCGCGCGCAGGCGGUCCUUUAAGUCUGAUGUGAAAGCCCACGGCUCAACCGUGGAGGGUCAUUGGAAACUGGGGGACUUGAGUGCAGAAGAGGAGAGUGGAAUUCCACGUGUAGCGGUGAAAUGCGUAGAGAUGUGGAGGAACACCAGUGGCGAAGGCGACUCUCUGGUCUGUAACUGACGCUGAGGCGACGAAAGCGUGGGGAGCAAACAGG
rnacentral:rRNA from 1 species